UCAUCAGUCUUCUUCUCCGACAACUGAAGCUCAACAUUGUUUGCGGGGAAGCACAAUGCCCCAAUUAAUAUAUCAGCUUAUCUUCAACUUCAAGGUACCAAAUAAUUUCAACUGCUUGUCACAAUUUAGGGUUUUUUUUUGGGGGGGUUUUUAUGUAUUGGAAUAUUAUUGUUGGAAUGUUAAUAAAUAUGUUGAAAUUUGAAAUUAGGCUCCUAUUUUUGCCAUUUUCUAAUUGCUAUGUUUUGUGGUUUAAGAAUGAUAAAUCAUUAUAGCUUUAUAUAAUCAAAUCAUGAGAGCUAUAUGUUAUGGAUUUGUCUUAAUCAAAUCAAAACUUAUGAUAUCUUACCAUGAAUUGAUCUUAAUUACCUGUUGUAGAUAUUCAUAUUUUUGUCAAAUUUAUUGUGUUCAUAUACAUAUAUAUGAUUAUAAUUAUCAUUGUUGUCAGUUGUCACUCACAUACCAUGAAUUUGUCUUGCCUGUUGUAGAUAUUUUUAUGUUACGGACGGGAGAAUUGUCAACUUCGGCUUGUGGGACGUUGCUAGUAAGUUCACACUUCAUAUUCUUUCUUGCUUUUAUGCACUGUCUGUGUCUCUUUAAAGUCUUUAAGUUUGGCUUCUCUUUGAUAAGCAAUGCUGAUAAUGAAAAUGUUGCCUGAAAAGUUAGGGUUUUCGUUUUUCUUUCCGUGCGGGCUUGGCCAACACUAAAGGCCAACACCUAAUUAAGAGCAAGCCAAAUAAACGAUGACUAGCAUGGGCUAAACCAACACUGAUUGGUGUGGACUAAGCCAAUUCUAACUAUUCCUUAUAUCUUCGCCAAUUUGGCUAAAAGGGGACUGGAGUCCGUCUAGCGUCUAUUUAGCAUCGGCCAGAUAAUUAGCCGAUUUUCACAGUCAAUGCUGCCUGUGGAUUUUACAGCUAACAUGUUAGAGACAAACACUAGUUGUCCUUUUAGAGAUGAUCCCUUUGGAAAUAUUAUUCUUGUUGUCUUGGGGGUCAUAACUUUAAUACUUCAUACAUUUUAAAACUCAAAAACAUCUCUAUAAGCAGUUACAACUUACAACUCCUAUCUUAGCUAUUGAUCCUAAAAACCGUCCACUAUAUCAGAAAUUAACUUGUAUCCCUAACAACACCACAAAGAUAAAGAAAAAGAGAAAAAAAAAUUAUAACUCUAAAGCAUGAUAUUAAAUAUUAAUCCACAUCUGGUUUGUUUUUUUAGAUGUAAAUUGCAAGUUUUCAUUAUUACUCAUAUAAUACAAUGGUUGAUUCUACACUAAUAUUCAACAACUCUCAGCGUUGUUGAAAAUUUAAUUUCUUGAUGCAUAUGGCAAAGAUCAAUACAAAACCUAUUGUAAAUCCAACAACUAUAACUGCAACAAUUCCUAAAAAUUCAUACUUGAAACCAAAGUAAUUCCGCAAAAAGUCUUGUAUUGGAACAAUUUUUCCAUUAAAAUCCAAACUGUCCUUUCUAUCUCCAAAUUGUGAAGUCACUAGCCCAUUUAGAGUCCAAGCUGCUGGAUUUAUCCAAUAAAACCAUCUCCACCAUAUAGGGAUCCUCUACAAGCCCAUUUUAGAAAAUUAUUAAAAAGAAACAAAAGAUCAAUUAAUUAUUUGUACAGUACAAAUCUGUGCAGUUAACAAACAGAAGCUAAAACUUACUGUUUGUGGGAUUAAGAAUCCAGAGAAGAGAUUAAAGAAUGAAUUGAAUGCACUACUGAGCAAAGCAGUUAUAGCUAGGUUUGGGGCCAUGGCUGUUGUCAUCAUGCCAAAGUAGGUAGAGUAAAGGAAGGUGAAGAACAUGAAAAAGAUGUACCAUAAAAAUUUAGUGACGCUCCACUCAUAACCAAGCAUUGAAUAAACCAUAAUCCCAUAAACCACAGCUUGCACAAGAUUAUAAGGGACUUCAAUUAGAGCCUACAUGAAAGAUUAGAAAAUAAGACAAAAAUUUAUUUACAUACAUGGGACUAUGUACAUAAAGACUAUUUCAACACUUGCCUGAGAAACAGCAUAUGCCAAUGCUGAAUACAUUCCUGCAGCCCUUUCCCUAUAAAAGACUACUCUCUCUAUACCUACCAGUGGUUGCACUGAAUUGCAAUUCUUGACACCAAUAACCAAAGUAGCAGUAUACAGAAAGCCCAUGGCAUUAAAGAAAUCUUUUUGGUUUUCACUGAAAUAAGAAAUUAACGUUUAGAAUAAAUGGAAGCAAAACUUUGAAAGCCAUAUACAACACCUAGUAAUUUCAAGUUGGUUAUUAUUACAUUUUGGAGGAAACUUUCCAGUAGAUGCCCCCAAGCAACAAGGCGACAGCGAUUGUGAAGAUAAACCUUAUUGAAUUGUACAACGGAUUGCGCCAGUAAGACCAAUGUUGUUUCCAUAAACAAGCCAUACAUUGGGUAAAAAAGGACCUCGAGUACUUCGAAGGAAAAUAAAGGCACUUUGAACCAGGAUAUGGAUNNNNNNNNNUAGCUUUGUUUCUCCUAUAAAAAAUGACACAUACGUUUCUAAUUAAAUAACCUGUGCAUGUUUGUCAAAAAAAAAAAAAAAUAACCUCUGCUUUUUGCAGUUAUUUGCUAUCUGACAUAUUGUUUCAACUUCAAUACUUCACAAAUUAGAAAAUACCUGUACAAUUCUGAACUUUUGUACACCUCAGCAAAAUUAAUCUCCAUUUCCAUUUCUUUAGCUGAACUCGUAACUUCCAACAUCCAAGUUGCUGGGUUGCAGCCAUCUUUAAUCUUACCGAGGCCUUGAAUUCUCUUUACGAAAAAAGUGUGCCCGAAUGUAAGUUUCAUGCUACGAUAGAUUAUAGAUGUAAAACACGCACUUCAAUUCCAAAAUUAUUCAGAAUAAUUCUACCUCAAAGUAGUUAAUUAAAUGUGAAGAAUGACGUCCUAGUGGCCCCACAUAUAUCUCUUGUCCUCCUCGUUUCAUUAAGAAAAGCUUAAUUUCAUUGAAAAUAAAGAUCAAAAUCUUUUUAAAAGAAGAAAACAAACUAACAAUAAAUUGUUAUGAACUUUUGCUCUUGUUUACCUCGUUGAAAGAUUCAAAGAUAUCAAUGCUAGGCUGGUGAAUGGUACACACAAUUGUUCUUCCUGUGUCUGCUAUGUUCCUAACUGCUCUCAUAACAAUAGCUGCAGCUCUAGCAUCUAGCCCAGAAGUAGGCUCAUCCAUGAAUAUGAUAGAAGGAUUACCCACCAGCUCAACUGCAAUAGUCAAUCUUUUACGCUGUUCAGUUGAGAGACCGUUAAUACCAGGGAGACCAACAUAUGCAUCCCUUAGCGGGUUCAGCUCCACUAGCUCCAUGACUUCCUCAACGAACACCUGUAACCGUUGGUCAGCUCCAAAUUAUUCUUGCUUCCAACAUUAUUUUAUAGGACAUAAUAGUUCUAUCUAAAAUUUAUGAUAAUUAUGCCAAAUCUCGAAAUUAUGCACUUGGGUACUGAAAAUUUACUUGAAAAUAAUAAGUGGAUAUGAAUUUGAAUACAACAGCAAACAUUUUAGAAAAAUUAAUGAAAUCUGGUGAAGCAGGAUAACAACAACUGUAUCAUACUUAAAAACAUCCAAAAACUUAACAUGAAAGUAAAUAGAGUGUCAACCUUCCUAGUUUCUGUAUUGAUUUCCUCCGGCAAUCGGAGCCAUGCUGAAUAGAGCAAGGAUUCAUAGACAGUAAUAUGAGGAGAGUGUAUAUCAUUUUGUUCACAGUAUCCAGAAAUUCUUGCAAAGGUUUCUUGCUUUUUAGGAUACCCAGAAAUUGUGAUGUUUCCAGUAAUAUAUCCCCCAGUUUUUCUACCAGCAAGUACAUCCAUCAAAGUUGUUUUUCCGGCACCGGUGACACCCAUUAGUGCAGUGAGAACACCUGGUCUAAAAGCUCCACUAACACCAUUCAAAAGAACCAACUUAUCUUCGAGGACACCCUGACUCCUCAUUUCCUUCAAGUUUAAUGAAACCCAUUUAAAAAUUAAGAACUGAGAGUGGAAUGCAAACCUUUUUCAUUUGAAUAAAUAUGUGUUACCUGAGGCAUGUCUACAGAAUACGAGACUUCAUCAAAGGUUAUACAAUGUGGUUCAAAAGGAAGAACCAUUCCACUUUUACUUAGACCAUUCUCCUCACUACUUUGAGAUUGCUCUGAUUUCACAACCUGGUGCUUCUCAAUUGCUGCAUAAUUAGUUUGCAAUAUUAAUUCAUAUUUUAGGCUCAUCUUUGUUAUAAAAUAUUCUAAUUAAUGUAAAGAAACUUACGAUUUAAGUAUGUUAGAGCAAGAAUGUAACCCAAGUUGAACAAUAGUGUAUAUCCAAUCAAUGCCCCGAAACAUAUCCAAUACCAGUACGGCUCUGUAAAGAACCCACGGGAUUUCAAAACUUCAACUCCUAGCGGGUUUGUCGAGUUAGGAAGAACCUUUCUCCAUGUCUUCCCUAGGAACUCGUUAUUCACUAAGCCAUUUUGUGCAUACAUUAUAGGCGAUAUCCAGAAUCCCCAUAUCCACCCUAUUUUUAUAUCAUCUGAAACCAAAAAGCAAAAAAGGGGGGAAGGUAUUGUUAUCCUAAAUUCUAACAAUAAUAUGUAGGAGAAACAUUAACUUUAACUACUUCAACAUAUGAACUACAAUAGUACCUCUUGAGAGGGUCAGACCACCCAUGGCAACAAAGAAGCAGAAUAUAAAUGACGUAAUUGUUGUAGCCACUGUCAUUUCUCUACCAGCUGCUCCAAGAAAUCGGGAUAGUCCAGUACCCAUUUGGUUGAUUAGUAUGAGAAGAAGGAAUUGCCUAAAUGCUCUGUAAUCAUACACAAAAAGAUACUGUUAAUUACACAUUAGGGUUCAAAGUCAAACUGAGUUGAAUAAUACUUGACAAGUUUUGAUGAAUACAUAUUGAAAAUUUUCUUUUUUACCUUCCAACUUCAGGUUCAUAACCGAUGACAAAAUAGGUGAGGACUGUCCAAACAACUGCUUCAACAAUUGUUAUGGGGAUUUUAAGGAUCCAUGACGGAAUACCAUAUGCCCAAGAAGGGUAGAAGAGCAUGUCCCUGUGCUUGUAAAACACGGGAAGCCUCACAACAGUCAUCGAAAGGUCAGAAAAUCCAUUAAACAUAAGCACCAUAUUUCCAAAGAACAAUGCACCGGCAUAUAUGCCCCCGUCAAUCACUGAAUCGUGGUGCAUUUCAGUUCGGAGAAAAACAGUCAUGGUAACAAUAGCCAUCACAGCUAGCUUAAAGAAGGAGAAAUGCAUUAUUAAUAGAGUAGCAAGUACUUAGUUUAUACAUAAAGUGAAAUACUGUAAUGUUCAAGUUGUUUGAGCUUACUUGGCAAAAUUUGAAUUUAUAUAUAAAUGAAUUGCGCUUCAUGAGUAAAAGUUCUCUUGAUAAGCAAGUUUUGAACAAUUCCCAUUUUCCAGUUCCAUACUUGUUGGUUGCCAGAGCAGCUGGGUGGCUUUUAGACUUGUCAAAUUGAGUAGCAAGUUCAUUACCAAGGUUUCUCCCGACAUGAAAUGACUGAAAUGCCUCUGCAAACUCUCCAGGUGUCACAAAUCUAUAAGGUUUCCCUCUUUCUACCCAAUAUUGCUCCUGAUCUUUCAUUGAUGUCACCUAUAGCAUAAUGGCCAAAAUUAAAUAGUUAACAUUCACUCAUAUCCAUAUAGAUUUGUAGAAUGUAGAAAGAAAUAAUGUUA
rnacentral:lncRNA from 1 species